UGUGCCGUCAGGAUCCAAGAUCCCUUUUGUAUCUCUGCUCCGAUGCUCUAGUUUGAGACUGCUUUUGUUAUCAGAGGGGGAAGAGACUGGCUCUCCACAGCUGCGGUAUGCUCCAGGAGUGGCUACACACAGCUCAGAGGGAAGAAUGCAGGGCCCUGGGUCCUUCCGCACGGGGAAGAAGCUGAAGAAUGGGCCAUCUGGGCAAACAUAGGCGUGUGGUCUGGAGAUGA